GACGAACGCUGGCGGCGUGCCUAAUACAUGCAAGUCGAACGCAUUUUCUUUCACCGUAGCUUGCUACACCGAAAGAAAAUGAGUGGCGAACGGGUGAGUAACACGUGGGUAACCUGCCCAUCAGCGGGGGAUAACACUUGGAAACAGGUGCUAAUACCGCAUAAUUCCAUUUACCGCAUGGUAGAUGGGUGAAAGGCGCUUUUGCGUCACUGAUGGAUGGACCCGCGGUGCAUUAGCUAGUUGGUGGGGUAACGGCCUACCAAGGCUGCGAUGCAUAGCCGACCUGGGAGGGGGAUCGGCCACACUGGGACUGAGACACGGCCCAGACUCCUACGGGAGGCAGCAGUAGGGAAUCUUCGGCAAUGGACGCAAGGCUGACCGAGCAACGCCGCGUGAGUGAAGAAGGGUGUCGGAUCGUAAAACUCUGUUGUUAGAGAAGAACAAGGAUGAGAGUGGAAAGUUCAUCCCUUGACGGUAGCUAACCAGAAAGCCACGGCUAACUACGUG
rnacentral:rRNA from 1 species